AAUCAACGCUGGCGGCGUGCCUAACACAUGCAAGUCGAACGCGAAAGCCCGCAAGGGUAAGUAGAGUGGCGCACGGGUGAGUAACACGUGGACAACCUGCCUUCGAGUGGGGAAUAACCUUCCGAAGGGAGGGCUAAUACCGCAUAACACCUCGGGACACAAGUUCUGGGGUUGAAAAGAGCAAUUUGCUCGAAGAGGGGUCCGCGCCUGAUUAGCUAGUUGGUGAGGUAACGGCUCACCAAGGCUUCGAUCAGUAGCCGUCCUGAGAGGGAGCACGGCCACACUGGAACUGAGACACGGUCCAGACUCCUACGGGAGGCAGCAGUGGGGAAUUUUGGCAAUGGGCGAAAGCCUGACCAAGCAACGCCGCGUGGGUGAUGAAGUAUCUUGGUACGUAAACCCUUU
rnacentral:rRNA from 1 species